UCUACAACAUAGCUAAGCAGAGAUGUAAUUUAGAUAAGCAUUAUUAAGUUCAGAGCUCAGAAAGCCAGUCUGGGCUGCACCUUAGAUUUGGUGGGUAGGCUGAAGCCUUAGGAGUAGGCGGCAUUGCACAGGAGAUGGGUGUGGCAAGAAGGGCAGCGGGAGUGUCCACACCAGCCCUUUCAAGCCUGAGAGUGCCCCUCAGCCACAUGGAGGGCUUCUGAAAACAGACUGCUGGGCCCCGGGGUGGGGCCCAAGAAUCUGUGAUUCCAUCAAACUCCCAAAGAAGAAACAUGUAGAAUUACAGUCAGGUUUGAGGGAAAGGACUUUUAAUUACAAUACAGAUAUUGCUGCUCCCAACAAAGAAAUAGAAACAUCUUUUAAAAGUACAAAGUGCUGACACUUUGGUCAUGGAAUCAAGAAAUAAGCCCAGACUACAAAAGAAAAAAAAAAUCAUGUCAUCAUCUUCAUCGUCACUGAUAUAGACCCCAAGUCCAUUUCACUGAUGUUAGAUCUCAUGGACUAUCUAACACAGAGAAAUAACACCUUUCAUGAGGCUGGAUAGCUCUUGGACUUCUGUAAAACAUUCUUUAAAAAAAUGUUUAAAAGUUCUUAAAAAUGCUUAAAAAGCAACCUCGAUGGAUGUUGAUAGAUGAAAAGAAGUUGCUAUGGCAAAAAGGAUACUAAUGUGUAAAUCCUCCAUCCUUGGGGCAGCUCUAGCCCUUGACUUAAGUUGAAUGUGACUUUUGUCACUAUUGCUGCAGCCAAGAAAUUAUUUAGUUACAACAGGUCCUACAAGAGACAAAUCCCAAAAUAUUAGUGAAAAGUUGGAAGAAAAGGUUUUGGAGUCAGGCAACCAUGGGUUUCAUUUCUAGACCUGUUAUUUACUUCAAGUGGGGUAUAUUACUUUAUGAGUUUAUUUCCUCAUAUGAGAAUGAUAAUAGGUUCUGAGAUACAGGUUUAAAAUUUUUCCAAAAUAAGAAGGACAGAACGCCUGUGGUGAGUGCCCAAUAGUUUAUAACUUUUUUGUCAUUAUUUCUAUUGUUGUUUGAAGAAGUGAGCAGUUGGAGUGCUUAAUUAGUUCAUAAAGUUGUCAAGGGACUUUAAUAUCUUACUCUAGAGUAAAGUGAUAAAACAUGAAACUUAACCUUACAGAAGAAGCUUAAAAGAAUGACCCAGGAAGUUUAAUGGCUUUUUUAGUUUUGUGUAAUGAAUCAUCACAAGAAAGGAGCACACUUCCAAAUCCCUUUUCACCACAGUCGGAGUAAACAACAGGACGGGAAAAUGCAAAGGCAGCUAGCAGAGAAUCCUAAAGAGAAGCAGAGAACCAUGCAAACAGAAAAAGAAUCAUUUCCAUAUUUAUAAAUAACUGGCAACAGGUCUUUUUGCAGAAAGCACUGGAGCAGAACCUUCUCCACCACAGUUGAAAAGGAUUUUGAAUUAACAUGGAAUGGCUGCAGGUACGGGGUCCUAGUCAUCUUUCAUCACUAUAAUGAAAUUCCUGACACAGGCUAAUUACAAAAUAAAGGAGAUUCAUUUGGCUCACAGUAUGGAGAUUCAAAGUCCAAGCUAGGGCAGCACCAUUGGUUUGGCCUCUGGUGAGGGUGGUAGUUGGUGGCACAUCAUGGCAGAAGCAUAUAUAGUAACAGUCACAUUUCAAAAAGGAGACCAGAGAGGACUAGAGGACUAUGUUUGCUCCUCUCAUUACAAUGCUCUUGCACAAAUUCAAAGGGUUACACGAGAACUUCCUCACACCCAAUGACUUAAGGAGCUACCUGUGGGCCCCAUUAAACCAUUUCAGCAACUCCCAGUAGCACCAAGCCUUCACUCACAAUGGACCCCUGGGGAACAUCCAAGCCAAAUCACCUAGGGACUGAAAGUCCCAGCUACACAGUGCCAAACAUGGCAGGGCACAGUCUCUGCAGGACACAGGGAACACAGUCAGAUAAACCAUAUCAGGACCAAAGAGAAAUCCAGGUAGGACCAGAGAAAUGACAACUUCAGAAAGCUGCUUGGGUGAGUUUUGACUCAAGAAGAGGAAUUGGAAGUCCAUCUUAGUUCUUUCCAUACCCACUAAUUCAUUUACUGCCUUUCACUGUCUUGUCUUAGAGAAUCUUCUGGGUGGUGUCUAAGACAGCCACAUUGACCAGAAGUGCAUCAGACGCUUAAUAGAAUCCACCUCAAUGUGACGCCUAGAGACUGCUGUUGCCAUUGUCUUUCUCAAUCACUUGCAUUCUUCCUUCUUUUAAGACUUUUUUAUAAGAAAGAAAAAAUAACUAGAUGAAGACUUUAGCCUUCUAAACUAUGUAAGGUUGCAGGGAGAAGUGAGGAGAGGGGAAUCGGAGGAGCAACCUGCAAACAAAUUUAACCCUGCCCAUCAUGCAAAUGACAAUGAUGGAUCUCCAGGUGCACGGAGACGCUAGAGGACACUGAGGAAAGAGGUGUGUGUUUGUAUGGAAAGACAGUUACCCAAGCUUGGUUUGGUGGGCCUGAAGAAAGACGAAUUUGAAGAAAACACCUGCUUCUAAUGAAGCAGCUAUGACCCAGGAGAAAAGAAAGAGGCCUGGCCAAAAGCCCUGCCCCAGCUCUGUGCAGGGACACAGGAGCAGGUCCCAGGAUCAGGGCCUAGGGGAACCCACACUAGGCCUCAAACCUUCAGGCAAAGUUUGGUUUUUUGCAGUUUCCAACAAGAAAGAGACAUGCAGAGUGCCC
rnacentral:lncRNA from 1 species